rnacentral:lncRNA from 1 species
UUUUGGUUGGCAUUACGACUACGACUAUCGACUUAGCGUGGGAGCUAGCGUCACGCAACAUGGUCACGGACAAGGGGUGCAUGCUGUGAGGAAUAUAUAAUGCAAAAAAAUCAACUCUCUGUGCGCACGCGUACGCGUCAUGCUUUUCUUUUUUUUGCUUCCAGCGGCAUGCACUCCCAUCAUCGAAUCCCGUUGCGUCUGCUAGAGAAGAUGCAUGGGCCGGGUCACAUAUCCAACUAUCACGUUUGUCCGGUUUUCAUUCUUAGAAUACUAUAAAAUCAUAAAACAUACGACGACACACAAUUGUCAAAGUCAGACAAAUUAUUACACCGAGCCAAUUCUACCCGGCUUGGGGGCGAUGUGGCGGUGAUUCGCUAACAUGGAUGUCGCGUUGCGUUAGGGCCAACGGGUCAUCCUUCUUUUUUCACCUUCCUCCUCUAUAUCCUCUGCUUGUUUCCACCAGCCGGCGCCUCAUCAAAGCUCCCAAGUCUCCUUCCAUGGCCGAUCACGCCUUUUGCACCGGGGCGCUCUCCGACUUUGACACUAUGCACCCUAAUUUAUCCGGUUUUGUUUGUUUUUGUAGUUCAAGGAUAAAUUUUGGACGAAUGUGACAGUUGAAGAGUGAAGUACGGACUUUCUCUAAUUAAAAUACAAGACCAGACAAGAGCCAACAUAUAUACUCC